rnacentral:rRNA from 1 species
AACGUACGCUGGCGGCACGCCUAACACAUGCAAGUCGAACGCAGUAGCAAUACUGAGUGGCAAACGGGUGAGUAUAAUGUGGGAAUCUGCCUUUUGGUUUGGAAUAACACGGGGAAACUUGUGCUAAUACCGAAUAAGCCCUUACGGGGAAAGUUUUAAUGCCGAACGAUGAGCCCGCACUUGAUUAGCUAGUUGGUAAGGUAAAAGCUUACCAAGGCAACGAUCAAUAGCUGUUCUUAGAGGAAGACCAGCCACAUUGGGACUGAGACACGGCCCAGACUCCUACGGGAGGCAGCAGUGGGGAAUCUUGCACAAUGGGGGAAACCCUGAUGCAGCGAUGCCGCGUGAGUGAAGAAGGCCCUUGGGUUGUAAAACUCUUUCGUCGGGGAAGAAAAUGACUGUACCCGAAUAAGAAGGUCCGGCUAACUUCGUGCCAGCAGCCGCGGUAAUACGAAGGGACCUAGCGUAGUUCGGAAUUACUGGGCUUAAAGAGCUCGUAGGUGGUUAAAAAAGUUGAUGGUGAAAUCCCAAGGCUCAACCUUGGAACUGCCAUCAAAACUUUUUAGCUAGAGUGUGAUAGAGGUAAGUGGAAUUUCUAGUGUAGAGGUGAAAUUCGUAGAUAUUAGAAAGAACACCAAAUGCGAAGGCAACUUACUGGGUCACUACUGACACUGAGGAGCGAAAGCAUGGGUAGCGAAGAGGAUUAGAUACCCUCGUAGUCCAUGCCGUAAACGAUGUGUGCUAGACGUUGGAAAUAUAUUUUUCAGUGUCGCAGCGAAAGCAUUAAGCACACCGCCUGGGGAGUACGACCGCAAGGUUAAAACUCAAAUGAAUUGACG